rnacentral:rRNA from 1 species
UACGGAGGGUGCAAGCGUUAAUCGGAAUUACUGGGCGUAAAGCGUGCGUAGACGGUUACAUAAGUCGGGUGUGAAAGCCCCGGGCUCAACCUGGGAAUUGCAUUCGAGACUGCGUAGCUAGGGUGCGGAAGAGGGAAGCGGAAUUCCGGUGUAGCGGUGAAAUGCGUAGAUAUCGGAAGGAACACCAGUGGCGAAAGCGGCUUCCUGGUCCAGCACCGACGUUCAGGCACGAAAGCGUGGGGGAGCAAACAGG